GCUAGGCAUGGUGGCUCAUGUCUGCACUCCCAGCUACUUGGGAGGCUGAGGCAGGAGGAUCACUUGAGCCCAGGAGGUCAAGACUGCAGUGAGCUGUGAUCACACCACUGCACUCCAGCCUGGGUGACAGAGUGAGACUCUGUCUCAA
rfam:Pan troglodytes isolate Yerkes chimp pedigree #C0471 (Clint) chromosome X, whole genome shotgun sequence.